UACGUAGGGACCGAGCGUUGUCCGGAAUCAUUGGGCGUAAAGGGCUCGUAGGCGGUCUGUUGCGUCAGGAGUGAAAACUCGGGGCUUAACCCCGAGCCUGCUUCUGAUACGGGCAGACUAGAGGUAUGCAGGGGAGAACGGAAUUCCUGGUGUAGCGGUGAAAUGCGCAGAUAUCAGGAGGAACACCGGUGGCGAAGGCGGUUCUCUGGGCAUUACCUGACGCUGAGGAGCGAAAGUGUGGGGAGCGAACAGG
rnacentral:rRNA from 1 species